rnacentral:lncRNA from 1 species
CUUAGCCCACUAUAUAAGAUAUGGAAGAUUUACAUAAUCUACCCAUAUAUUUAAUUAGUUAUCUUUUGAUCACUUAAUUAAUUCUAAAUUAAUUCUUGAACAAAACUAAUUAAAUAAUAUUAUUAAUAUAUUAGAACUUAUAAUAUAUUAAUAAUCCAUAUGUGUUAUUUCUCUCAUUUAGUUUAUCUAAUUGCAUGGUGCCAUGCAACCCAAAUGGACCAUGCCGGGUCGGGUCAAGUACUUACCAGAAAUAGUUAUGGACUUAGACACCUUAUCCAACAGUCUCCCACUUGGAUAAGUCUAAUAACUAUAACUGCAAUACUUCAGGAACCGAUCGGCAAUCGUAGCUCUUUCAAGGUCUCUCGGAACUGAGNACUUUAGGAACCAAUCGGCAAUCGUAGCUCUUUCAAGGUCUCUCGGAACUAAGAAGAUGUUGAU